GACAGAGGGUGCAAACGUUGCUCGGAAUCACUGGGCGUAAAGGGCGUGUAGGCGGGACGGUAAGUCGGGCGUGAAAUCCCUAGGCUCAACCUAGGAACUGCACUCGAAACUACCAUUCUUGAGUGUCGGAGAGGAAAGCGGAAUUCCGAGUGUAGAGGUGAAAUUCGUAGAUAUUCGGAAGAACACCAGUGGCGAAGGCGGCUGACUGGACAUGUAUUGACGCUGAGGUGCGAAAGCGUGGGGAGCAAACAGG
rnacentral:rRNA from 1 species